rnacentral:rRNA from 1 species
CUAGUAUGCACCUACGGGUGGCUGCAGUGGGGAAUAUUGCACAAUGGGGGAAACCCUGAUGCAGCAACGCCGCGUGAAGGAAGACGGUUUUCGGAUUGUAAACUUCUUUUCUUAGUGAAGAAGAAAGUGACGGUAGCUAAGGAAUAAGCAUCGGCUAACUACGUGCCAGCAGCCGCGGUAAUACGUAGGAUGCGAGCGUUAUCCGGAAUUACUGGGUGUAAAGGGAGCGCAGGCGGGACUGCAAGUUGGAUGUGAAAUGCCGCAGCUUAACUGCGGAGCUGCAUCCAAAACUGUAGUUCUUGAGUGGAGUAGAGGCAAGCGGAAUUCCGAGUGUAGCGGUGAAAUGCGUAGAUAUUCGGAGGAACACCAGUGGCGAAGGCGGCUUGCUGGGCUCUAACUGACGCUGAGGCUCGAAAGUGUGGGGAGCAAACAGGAUUAGAUACCCUGGUAGUCCACACUGUAAACGAUGAUAGCUAGGUGUGGGGGGUCUGACCCCUUCCGUGCCGGAGUUAACGCAAUAAGCUAUCCACCUGGGGAGUACGGCCGCAAGGUUGAAACUCAAAGGAAUUGACGGGG